rnacentral:lncRNA from 1 species
CUGAUGUGGAAGAAGAACCAUAUGGUUCAUAAAGUGCAGUAGAUCACAGCAAGGAAAAAACUUAAAAACUACGGUGAUUCAUUGAUGUUCAUGGUAAAAGCUGUUGGGAGAAAUCCAGACACAGCUGAGUAAUCUGAGCAACAUGAAUGAACAUGGACAAUCUAAGUCCUCAAAGGAACAUAGACAAUAACCACAAGGACAAGGUGCUAUGGUAUAAUCAGUUCACAUGAACCUCAAGGAGGAAAUAGUUGAUUGAAUUUUGAAGGGCGUUGAUCUGGAAAUUGACAGUAUGUUAACUGGCUUUAGUGACUGGGUGGAGUCAUGGAAUGAACAUUUUGCACCAGAAAGAAUGUCCCAAGAAGCCUCCACAUGUGCAGGAGGCUGUCUGGAUGCAUUCAAAUGUUCAGUAGAAGUGAUUCAAGAAAAUCAAGGCCAAAAUAUAUGCUUCAGAAAUAUGUAUUUCUAACAUUUGUGUUCCAUUGAUUCACUAUUUUUUUUUCUAAACAAAACAAAAGCAAUAAAUCUUUUCUUUAUCAUCUCUACUAUUAGGACAUCGAUCAAUGGUCAUUUGAUAUGCUCCUUUCUGUUAUCAAAUUGUGAGAAGAGUUUUACACUUCUUAUUUUGACUUACUACUGCACUAGGAAAAGCAUAGCAUUUUUAACUGUCAAAGCAAUAUUUUACAAUGGCUUUACAUAAUAAAUUAAUCCAGCU